rnacentral:tRNA from 1 species
GGGUUUAGUGGGGCUCACCUCUUAAUCAACGGGUUGUAGGUUCGAGUCCUACACGACCCACCA